CGCGUAAAGAACUUGCCUCACAGAUAGGGACAACAUUUGGAAACGAAUGCUAAUACCUGAUAUUAUGAUUUUAGGGCAUCCUAGAAUUAUGAAAGCUAUAUGCGCUGUGAGAGAGCUUUGCGUCCCAUUAGCUAGUUGGAGAGGUAACGGCUCACCAAGGCGAUGAUGGGUAGCCGGCCUGAGAGGGUGAACGGCCACAUUGGGACUGAGACACGGCCCAA
rnacentral:rRNA from 1 species